UUGUGUCUGAUCCCUUGUACAUUGCUGGGGUGUGGCUGGGAGAACUGUAUGUAAUGGUGACUCAGAAAAAAAUGAGGAUUUAAACUAGCCCAGAAGUACUGAGGGCACAUCUGACUCAAGUCAGAUGGGAGAGGCAUCCUGCUGCAUUUAUCCUCAAGGAAGAAAAUCACAGACAGGCAAAGUGCAGCACUGCUCAUCCCAGGCACCCACAGUCUCCUCACCCAGGGGACCUUGCUGACGCAAUGACAAAGGUGGAAGAUGGAAUGAGUGCACCUGGGGAAGAGAUGAAAACUCACCUGUAGAGGCUCAAAAUCUGGACUGUGCUUCCCUCCUUUCCAAUCUCCUUUACCUCCAAACUCCAUAACUGAGCCCCUACAUCUUUACACAUGGCAUGUCAACUAGAUUCUUAGGAAACAGAAACUCAGACUUAA